UAAACUGUUAUAAUUAUCAUAACAUAGUCGACUGUAUUAGUAGCAUAUUCGACUAAGAGAGCGUCUGUUUGACAGAAAUCUAUAAAUAGAUUGAACCUGAUGUUACUCGGGGACUUUUGAUGAUCUAACAUUUUCAUAUUCCGUUUCACAUUGAUUUCUCUAAGAUUAUAGAGCUCCAAUAACUCAUCAAGAAGACGGUGGUGAUCUUGCUUGAAGGAGAUUCAAAGGGAGACUGAUUGUGCGCUCACUGCUUGAUCACAUAUCCGCACAUUGAGGUGUUUCUGGUUUGAUCAAGAUUCUUGUUGGCAUCCGUGGUGAUUGCUAUUGGUACCUAUUGUGAAUACAGGGGAUAGACUCAUGGAGUCUGGUUCACUUUGAGAAUUGUUCAAAGUGGUUUGACAGAUUGCAUGAGAGGGGACAUCUUGUUGCAAGUCUUGUUGUGUGGUUUGCCUAUAUUUUGGUUAGAAGGUUAGAGAGGUGUUUUAUAUUUUUGAAGUGGAUGUCUUAUAUAAAAGCCUUGUUGUAAAAACCUUAACCAUUAUAGUGCAUUUGCUUCCUGGUAUUAGAAGGACAUUGGAUAUAGGCAUUGAGGUCGAACCAGUAUAAAAACCAGUGUUUGAUUU
rnacentral:lncRNA from 1 species